rnacentral:rRNA from 1 species
GACGAACGCUGGCGGCGUGCUUAACACAUGCAAGUCGAACGGAAAGGCCCUGCUUUUGUGGGGUGCUCGAGUGGCGAACGGGUGAGUAACACGUGAGUAACCUGCCCUUGACUUUGGGAUAACUUCAGGAAACUGGGGCUAAUACCGGAUAGGAGCUCCUGCUGCAUGGUGGGGGUUGGAAAGUUUCGGCGGUUGGGGAUAGACUCGCGGCUUAUCAGCUUGUUGGUGGGGUAGUGGCUUACCAAGGUUUCGACGGGUAGCCGGCCUGAGAGGGUGACCGGCGACAAUGCGACUGAGGGACGGCCCAGACGCGUACGGGAGGCAGCGGGGGGGAGUAUUACGCAGUGGGGGGGAGCCUGAUACAGCAACGCCGCGAGCGUGAUGACGUCCUUCGAGUUAUGAACCGCUUUCGCCGUAGACGAAGCGUUAGUGACGGUAAUGGGUAAAGAAGCACCGGCUAACUACGUG